AGAGUUUGAUCAUGGCUCAGAUUGAACGCUGGCGGCAGGCCUAACACAUGCAAGUCGAACGGUAACAGAAAGCAGCUUGCUGCUUUGCUGACGAGUGGCGGACGGGUGAGUAAUGUCUGGGAAACUGCCUGAUGGAGGGGGAUAACUACUGGAAACGGUAGCUAAUACCGCAUAACGUCGCAAGACCAAAGAGGGGGACCUUAGGGCCUCUUGCCAUCGGAUGUGCCCAGAUGGGAUUAGCUAGUAGGUGGGGUAACGGCUCACCUAGGCGACGAUCCCUAGCUGGUCUGAGAGGAUGACCAGCCACACUGGAACUGAGACACGGUCCAGACUCCUACGGGAGGCAGCAGUGGGGAAUAUUGCACAAUGGGCGCAAGCCUGAUGCAGCCAUGCCGCGUGUAUGAAGAAGGCCUUCGGGUUGUAAAGUACUUUCAGCGGGGAGGAAGGGAGUAAAGUUAAUACCUUUGCUCAUUGACGUUACCCGCAGAAGAAGCACCGGCUAACUCCGUGCCAGCAGCCGCGGUAAUACGGAGGGUGCAAGCGUUAAUCGGAAUUACUGGGCGUAAAGCGCACGCAGGCGGUUUGUUAAGUCAGAUGUGAAAUCCCCGGGCUCAACCUGGGAACUGCAUCUGAUACUGGCAAGCUUGAGUCUCGUAGAGGGGGGUAGAAUUCCAGGUGUAGCGGUGAAAUGCGUAGAGAUCUGGAGGAAUACCGGUGGCGAAGGCGGCCCCCUGGACGAAGACUGACGCUCAGGUGCGAAAGCGUGGGGAGCAAACAGGAUUAGAUACCCUGGUAGUCCACGCCGUAAACGAUGUCGACUUGGAGGUUGUGCCCUUGAGGCGUGGCUUCCGGAGCUAACGCGUUAAGUCGACCGCCUGGGGAGUACGGCCGCAAGGUUAAAACUCAAAUGAAUUGACGGGGGCCCGCACAAGCGGUGGAGCAUGUGGUUUAAUUCGAUGCAACGCGAAGAACCUUACCUGGUCUUGACAUCCACGGAAGUUUUCAGAGAUGAGAAUGUGCCUUCGGGAACCGUGAGACAGGUGCUGCAUGGCUGUCGUCAGCUCGUGUUGUGAAAUGUUGGGUUAAGUCCCGCAACGAGCGCAACCCUUAUCCUUUGUUGCCAGCGGUCCGGCCGGGAACUCAAAGGAGACUGCCAGUGAUAAACUGGAGGAAGGUGGGGAUGACGUCAAGUCAUCAUGGCCCUUACGACCAGGGCUACACACGUGCUACAAUGGCGCAUACAAAGAGAAGCGACCUCGCGAGAGCAAGCGGAUCUCAUAAAGUGCGUCGUAGUCCGGAUUGGAGUCUGCAACUCGACUCCAUGAAGUCGGAAUCGCUAGUAAUCGUGGAUCAGAAUGCCACGGUGAAUACGUUCCCGGGCCUUGUACACACCGCCCGUCACACCAUGGGAGUGGGUUGCAAAAGAAGUAGGUAGCUUAACCUUCGGGAGGGCGCUUACCACUUUGUGAUUCAUGACUGGGGUGAAGUCGUAACAAGGUAACCGUAGGGGAACCUGCGGUUGGAUCACCU
rnacentral:rRNA from 1 species